rnacentral:lncRNA from 1 species
CAGUCAUGUUUUUUUGUUCCCCAACUCAGGUCGACCUUCACGUUGAAAACGCCGAGCCGCUUUUGAAGAACAUUUUCAGUCACUCUGAUGGAGAGUCUGCAGAUGAAAGUCGAAAAGAUGUGCGGUCCGAAGAGGAGAGGAGGACGAGAAGGAGAACAGAUGAUGGCCACAGAGGAGACAGAGAAAAAUGUUUGUCCAGCACCAACAGUUACCUGGACAAGGCCAGGGCCAUGUUGUUUGGGAGCAGGAGAGCAGAGGAGAGCGGGCCUGACUGUUGGGUUGGUGUGAAGGUGUUUGGCAAUGAGCUCAGCGUUUUCACAUGUGCAGAUCUCUACGACCAAAUCAACCAGCUGUCGCUGAGCGUGGCAGGACUGGCUGUCAAACUGCUCAAGGUGCUUUUUUAAAAAACGUUUUAUUUAAUCUUAAUUUUACCAGAAAAACUCCCACUGAGAUUCAAAAUCUGUUUUCACAAUGUUCUCCAGGCCAAGGCAGCUACAUAAAAAGUUUCACAUAAAGGGACAAACGGCAAAGCAACAGACAUCGAACAUGCAGCAUGUACAUCAAUAAUUGUACCAGUGUGUUUUCUCCUGUGUUCAGUCUGCCUUCCUCUUCGUCCUCCAGGGUCACGAGGUUCAGCUGAACCACAGGGCCGUGCUGAUGACAGAGGAGCUGCUUUUACCCUCUCUGUCUGGUUUGCCCGUCAAAAUGGGCAUCAACAUGACCUCCCUUCUUUCUCUGCGUCUGAAGGGCAACAUCAACUACAGGGAUACUUCUCACUUCUCCCUGACUGGUUACAUCAAACCCAAGUACUUCCGCAUUACCGCUUGCAACAGGGGCUACAAGUUGGACAUUUUUCUCGGCAACUGUGCUCAAUAACCGGUGUCUCUCUCCUCAGUGCACAUGUGGGGCUGUCUGCCAGGAUGGGGGUUGACGGUGCUUUGGGUCAGGCUGCAGUGGACUGGGUCUCAGAGCUGAGGAGCUCCACCAGCCUGGAUGGAAGUGUUGAGAUGCAGGAGGGACGGGAUCUCAGGGUCACACUUAACACGCCAGAGGACGUCAUGGACAUCAUCUCUGUCAGGUAAGUGUCCACCUUUCAAGUAGUUACACCAUUUCAAAAUGUCCUUUGAUAGAUCUUAUGUGCCGUUGAAUGUUUACCAGCCCCAACAGCAUCACCUGGUUA